AUGCUUGCUUCGGCAGCACGUAUGCUAAAAUUGGAAAAAUACAGAGAAGAUUAGCAGGCCCCUGCAAAAGGAUGACACACAAAUUCAUGAAGUGUUCCAUAUUUUU